UAGUCAACAUGCCCAGGGGACGUGGAUAACCUCGGGAAACUGAGGAUAAACCGCGAUAGGUCAUCACUUCUGGAAUGGGUAAUGACUUAAAUCUACAUGGCCCCUGGAUUGGACUGCGGCCGAUCAGGCUGUUGGUGAGGUAAUGGCCCACCAAACCUGUAACCGGUACGGGCUCUGAGAGGAGGAGCCCGGAGAUGGGCACUGAGACAAGGGCCCAGGCCCUAUGGGGCGCAGCAGGCGCGAAACCUCUGCAAUAGGCGAAAGCUUGACAGGGUUACUCUGAGUGAUUUCCGUUAAGGAGAUCUUUUGGCACCUCUAAAAAUGGUGCAGAAUAAGGGGUGGGCAAGUCUGGUGUCAGCCGCCGCGGUAAUACCAGCACCCCGAGUGGUCGGGACGAUUAUUGGGCCUAAAGCAUCCGUAGCCGGUCAUGCAAGUCCUCCGUUAAAUCCACCUGCUUAACAGAUGGGCUGCGGAGGAUACUACAAGGCUAGGAGGCGGAAGAGGCAAGCGGUACUCAGUGGGUAGGGGUAAAAUCCUCUGAUCCAUUGAAGACCACCAGUGGCGAAGGCGGCUUGCCAAUACGCGCUCGACGGUGAGGGAUGAAAGCUGGGGGAGCAAACCGGAUUAGAUACCCGGGUAGUCCCAGCUGUAAACGAUGCAGACUCGGUGAUGGGCCGGCUUUAUGCCGGCUCAGUGCCGCAGGGAAGCCGUUAAGUCUGCCGCCUGGGGAGUACGGUCGCAAGACUGAAACUUAAAGG
rnacentral:rRNA from 1 species